rnacentral:rRNA from 1 species
UAGAUACCCCUGUAGUCCUGGCCGUAAACGAUGAACACUAGGUGUCGGGGGAAUCGACCCCCUCGGUGUCGUAGCCAACGCGUUAAGUGUUCCGCCUGGGGAGUACGCACGCAAGUGUGAAACUCAAAGGAAUUGACGGGGGCCCGCACAAGCGGUGGAGUAUGUGGUUUAAUUCGAUGCAACGCGAAGAACCUUACCAGGGUUUGACAUCCUGCGAAUCUCCUGGAAACGGGAGAGUGCCUUCGGGAACGCAGUGACAGGUGGUGCAUGGCUGUCGUCAGCUCGUGUCGUGAGAUGUUGGGUUAAGUCCCGCAACGAGCGCAACCCACGUCUUUAGUUGCCAGCAUUCAGUUGGGCACUCUAGAGAGACCGCCGGUGAUAAACCGGAGGAAGGUGUGGAUGACGUCAAGUCAUCAUGCCCCUUACAUCCUGGGCUACACACGUACUACAAUGCUACGGACAAAGGGCAGCAAACUCGCGAGAGCUAGCAAAUCCCAUAAACCGUGGCUCAGUUCAGAUCGUAGGCUGCAACUCGCCUACGUGAAGGAGGAAUCGCUAGUAAUCGCAGGUCAGCAUACUGCGGUGAAUACGUUCCCGGGCCUUGUACACACCGCCCGUCACACCAUGGAAGUUGGCCACGCCCGAAGCCGUUACUCCAACCCUUGUGGAGGAGGACGUCGAAGGUGGGGCUGAUGACUGGGGUGAAGUCGUAACAAGGUAGCCGUACCGGAAGGUGCGGCUG